GUGAUUCUCCAAAGAAAAAAAGACAAAGAUGGAAGUCAUUAAUAAAUGUUUUCAGAUAUGGCAUGGAUUUUCAUUGAGACAUACUAAGGAAAACAUGCUUACAUUGCAAGAGAGUUAAAUCAGGAAGAACUUCCCAAUGGCAUGAAAGCGAUAGCCAAGACAGUUGUGAAAAGGCCUUCCAGUCUGCCCGGCCUGGAGGCUGCCUGCUCAGGUCCUGGGCUGGCUGGGAGCAGGAGGUUGGCUCUUCGUCAUUCCUGUACUGGCAGGAGAUAAGGAACAGAAACACAGAGUCUACCCCUGGACACUUGCAAAUGGCACCCCAACGCCCUGAGUGUGGCAGGUGGUGUUGGCUUCAUCUUGUAUUGUGGAAGAAACAGAAGACACUGAACGGAAGCACAGUUUUCCCCACCCAUCCCGAGGACCAGCUGAAGACUAGAGGGAAUAUGAUUUGGGGAGCAAAUGAGUGUUCCCAAAAGACCCAAAAUAUUCAUUUUCUGGAGUAAAGUUACACAUCUCCAGGAGAUCCCUAUUAAAUGGCAAAUGCCCCCAAGGGGAUGAGGAGAAAAACAAUACUAACCUGAUUCCCAAG
rnacentral:lncRNA from 1 species